CGGCAGGCCUAACACAUGCAAGUCGAGCGGUAGAGAGAAGCUUGCUUCUCUUGAGAGCGGCGGACGGGUGAGUAAUGCCUAGGAAUCUGCCUAGUGGUGGGGGAUAACGUUCGGAAACGGACGCUAAUACCGCAUACGUCCUACGGGAGAAAGCGGGGGACCUUCGGGCCUCGCGCCAUUAGAUGAGCCUAGGUCGGAUUAGCUAGUUGGUGAGGUAAUGGCUCACCAAGGCUACGAUCCGUAACUGGUCUGAGAGGAUGAUCAGUCACACUGGAACUGAGACACGGUCCAGACUCCUACGGGAGGCAGCAGUGGGGAAUAUUGGACAAUGGGCGAAAGCCUGAUCCAGCCAUGCCGCGUGUGUGAAGAAGGUCUUCGGAUUGUAAAGCACUUUAAGUUGGGAGGAAGGGUAGUAACUUAAUACGUUGCUACUUUGACGUUACCGACAGAAUAAGCACCGGCUAACUUCGUGCCAGCAGCCGCGGUAAUACGAAGGGUGCAAGCGUUAAUCGGAAUUACUGGGCGUAAAGCGCGCGUAGGUGGUUCAGUAAGUUGGAUGUGAAAUCCCCGGGCUCAACCUGGGAACUGCAUCCAAAACUGCUGAGCUAGAGUACGGUAGAGGGUAGUGGAAUUUCCUGUGUAGCGGUGAAAUGCGUAGAUAUAGGAAGGAACACCAGUGGCGAAGGCGACUACCUGGACUGGUACUGACACUGAGGUGCGAAAGCGUGGGGAGCAAACAGGAUUAGAUACCCUGGUAGUCCACGCCGUAAACGAUGUCAACUAGCCGUUGGGAGUCUUGAACUCUUAGUGGCGCAGCUAACGCAUU
rnacentral:rRNA from 1 species